rnacentral:rRNA from 1 species
AGGACGAACGCUGGCGGCGUGCUUAACACAUGCAAGUCGAGCGGUAAGGCCUUUCGGGGUACACGAGCGGCGAACGGGUGAGUAACACGUGGGUGAUCUGCCCUGCACUUCGGGAUAAGCCUGGGAAACUGGGUCUAAUACCGGAUAUGACCUCCUAUCGCAUGGUGGGUGGUGGAAAGAUUUAUCGGUGCAGGAUGGGCCCGCGGCCUAUCAGCUUGUUGGUGGGGUAAUGGCCUACCAAGGCGACGACGGGUAGCCGACCUGAGAGGGUGACCGGCCACACUGGGACUGAGACACGGCCCAGACUCCUACGGGAGGCAGCAGUGGGAAUAUUGCACAAUGGGCGAAAGCCUGAUGCAGCGACGCCGCGUGAGGAUGACGGCCUUCGGGUUGUAAACCUCUUUCAGACAGGACGAAGCGCAAGUGACGGUACCUGACAGAAGAAGCAACCGGCUAACUACGUGCCAGCAGCCGC